rnacentral:rRNA from 1 species
CCUACGGGGGGCAGCAGUGAGGAAUAUUGGUCAAUGGACGAGAGUCUGAACCAGCCAAGUAGCGUGAAGGAUGACUGCCCUAUGGGUUGUAAACUUCUUUUAUAUGGGAAUAAAACGUUCCACGUGUGGGAUUUUGUAUGUACCAUAUGAAUAAGGAUCGGCUAACUCCGUGCCAGCAGCCGCGGUAAUACGGAGGAUCCGAGCGUUAUCCGGAUUUAUUGGGUUUAAAGGGAGCGUAGGUGGAUUGGUAAGUCAGUUGUGAAAGUUUGCGGCUCAACCGUAAAAUUGCAGUUGAAACUGGCAGUCUUGAGUACAGUAGAGGUGGGCGGAAUUCGUGGUGUAGCGGUGAAAUGCUUAGAUAUCACGAAGAACUCCGAUUGCGAAGGCAGUUCACUGGACUGCAACUGACACUGAGGCUCGAAAGUGUGGGUAUCAAACAGGAUUAGAUACCCCUGUAGUC